rnacentral:lncRNA from 1 species
GAUACCAUCAUGCUUUUUAGAGGCCUCUGCUCUGCCAGCCUGGGAGUCAUCUUCACCCUCAGGCUGGUAGACUCCAGUCUCUUAGGUCAGAAUGGGAUUAGAGACCCGUUCCUGAACCAGUCACACACAGCGGGUGAAACUGCUAUGAUUGGUUUAGACUUAGAGACUGGAAUGGAUGCUGUCCCCAGAUAGCAGAUGACUGGUAGGAAGAUGAGGCAAGUUUGCGGUCCAUUGUCAUGGAUAGUGGAGACAACACUGGGCCAGAAGUGGUAAGACCUGAAUCCAAGACUCAGCUCUGCCACUUGCUAAAUGGGACUUUGAAUAAACCAUUUCUCUGCACUUAAGUUCCUUACCAACAAAACGAGGGAAGUGGCCUACAUGCCUAGAUAUCAACAUUUCAUGUCACGUAGAGAUCUAGCAUCACAAGAAUCCAAGUCAUCCUCUGUUGCCUUUAAGAUUUCAGCAUGGUGAAGGAAAAGUAGCAGAAGACUGAAUGCAUACUCAGUUUUCAAGCUCUGGAUUUAAUCUUUCCAUAGCUGGAAUUGCCUCCUCCUCAAAAGCCUUAUUUGUUCAUUUAAUUGGGGCAACAUGAAAUAAUGAUGUAUCAUUGACAGAGAACAGGGGGCUUAGGUUCUCAUCUUGGUCCUAGUGAUUACUCUAUGCAUAACCUCAACUUCUUUAUCUGUACAUUGGGAACAAUAAUUCUUACUCCACUUGUUGUGUUGAAACUGAAUUAUAUAAUUCAUAAAUUAAAACACCAAAUUCUGAUAAAUGCUAAA